rnacentral:rRNA from 1 species
CGAUGAAGCCGCUUCGGUGGUGGAUUAGUGGCGAACGGGUGAGUAACACGUGGGCAAUCUGCCCUGCACUCUGGGACAAGCCCUGGAAACGGGGUCUAAUACCGGAUACGAUCACCGGCCGCAUGGUCUGGUGGUGGAAAGCUCCGGCGGUGCAGGAUGAGCCCGCGGCCUAUCAGCUUGUUGGUGGGGUGAUGGCCUACCAAGGCGACGACGGGUAGCCGGCCUGAGAGGGCGACCGGCCACACUGGGACUGAGACACGGCCCAGACUCCUACGGGAGGCAGCAGUGGGGAAUAUUGCACAAUGGGCGAAAGCCUGAUGCAGCGACGCCGCGUGAGGGAUGACGGCCUUCGGGUUGUAAACCUCUUUCAGCAGGGAAGAAGCCUUCACGGGUGACGGUACCUGCAGAAGAAGCACCGGCUAACUACGUGCCAGCAGCCGCGGUAAUACGUAGGGUGCGAGCGUUGUCCGGAAUUAUUGGGCGUAAAGAGCUCGUAGGCGGCGUGUCACGUCGGAUGUGAAAGCCCGGGGCUUAACCCCGGGUCUGCAUUCGAUACGGGCAGGCUAGAGUUCGGUAGGGGAGAUCGGAAUUCCUGGUGUAGCGGUGAAAUGCGCAGAUAUCAGGAGGAACACCGGUGGCGAAGGCGGAUCUCUGGGCCGAUACUGACGCUGAGGAGCGAAAGCGUGGGGAGCGAACAGGAUUAGAUACCCUGGUAGUCCACGCCGUAAACGUUGGGAACUAGGUGUGGGCGACAUUCCACGUCGUCCGUGCCGCAGCUAACGCA